rnacentral:rRNA from 1 species
CCUACGGGCGGCAGCAGUGGGGAAUAUUGCACAAUGGGGGAAACCCUGAUCCAGCGAAGUAGCGUGAAUGAAGAAGUAACUAGUUAUGUUAAGCUCUAUUUGUAGGGAAGUAAAUGACGGUACGUGAGUAUGAAGCCACGGCUAACUACGUGCCAGCAGCCGCGGUAAUACGUAGGGGGCCAGCGUUAUCCGGAUUUACUGGGUGUAAAGGGAGCGUAGACGGCAGUGCAAGUCUGGAGUGAAAGUCGGGGGCUCAACCUUCGGACUGCACUUGAAACUGUACGGCUGGAGUACAGUAGAGGUAAGUGGAAUUCCUGGUGUAGCGGUGAAAUGCGUAGAUAUUAGGAGGAACACCGGUGGCGAAGGCAGCUUACUGGACUGUAACUGACGUUGAUGCUCGAAAGCGUGGGGAGCAAACAGGAUUAGAUACCCGGGUAGUC